rnacentral:rRNA from 1 species
CGCACAGCUCAGUAACACGUGGCUAACCUGCCCUCGAGACGGAGACAACCCCGGGAAACUGGGGCUAAUCUCCGAUAGGCGAAGAGCUCUGGAAUGAGCCUUUACCAAAAUAGCAAUUAGGCUAUGCUUCUGGUUGUCGCUCGAGGAUGGGGCCGCGACCGAUCAGGUUGUUGGUGAGGUAACGGCUCACCAAGCCUAUAACCGGUGCGGGCCGUGGGAGCGGGAGCCCGGAGAUGGGCACUGAGACAAGGGCCCAGGCCCUACGGGGCGCAGCAGUCGCGCAAACUUUGCAAUACACGAAAGUGUGACAGGGCUAUCCCGAGUGCCGUCCGCUGAGGAUGGCUUUUACCCAGUCUAGAACGCUGGGGGAAUAAGGAGAGGGCAAGUCUGGUGUCAGCCGCCGCGGUAAUACCAGCUCUCCGAGUGGUGUGGAUGUUUAUUGGGUCUAAAGCAUCCGUAGCUGGCCAAGCCAGUCCCUUGUUAAACCCACCGAAUUAAUUCGUUGGAUUGCGGGGGAUACUGCUCGGCUAGGGGACGAGAGAGGCAGACGGUAUUUUCGGGGUAGGGGUGAAAUCCUAAAAUCACGGGAAGACCACCAGUUGUCGAAAGCUGUCUGCUAAAACCCCCCCAACGGUCAGGGAUGAUAUCUGGGGGGACAAAUC